GCUAGCGUAGUUUAUUUAAAACAUAACACUGAAAAUGUUAAAAUGAGCCCUAGAAAGCUCCGCAAGCA
rnacentral:tRNA from 1 species